rnacentral:rRNA from 1 species
UAUUUUCCUUUUUUUCCCUCAGCCGCGGUAAUACGUAGGGGGCUAGCGUUAUCCGGAAUUACUGGGCGUAAAGGGUGCGUAGGUGGUUUCUUAAGUCAGAGGUGAAAGGCUACGGCUCAACCGUAGUAAGCCUUUGAAACUGAGAAACUUGAGUGCAGGAGAGGAGAGUAGAAUUCCUAGUGUAGCGGUGAAAUGCGUAGAUAUUAGGAGGAAUACCAGUUGCGAAGGCGGCUCUCUGGACUGUAACUGACACUGAGGCACGAAAGCGUGGGGAGCAAACAGG